rnacentral:snRNA from 1 species
GUGCUUGCUUUGGCAGCACAUAUACUAAAAUUGGAACAAUACAGAGAGAUUAGCAUGGCCCCUGCGCAAGGAUGACACGCAAAUUUGUGAAGUGUUCCAUAUUUAA